rnacentral:rRNA from 1 species
GACGAACGCAGGCGGCGUGCUUAACACAUGCAAGUCGAACGGUAAGGCCCUUCGGGGUACACGAGUGGCGAACGGGUGAGUAACACGUGGGUGAUCUGCCCUGCACUUCGGGAUAAGCCUGGGAAACUGGGUCUAAUACCGGAUAGGACUCCGGACUGCAUGGUCUGGGGUGGAAAGCUUUUGCGGUGUGGGAUGGGCCCGCGGCCUAUCAGCUUGUUGGUGGGGUGAUGGCCUACCAAGGCGACGACGGGUAGCCGGCCUGAGAGGGUGACCGGCCACACUGGGACUGAGAUACGGCCCAGACUCCUACGGGAGGCAGCAGUGGGGAAUAUUGCACAAUGGGCGCAAGCCUGAUACAGCGACGCCGCGUGAGGGAUGACGGCCUUCGGGUUGUAAACCUCUUUCAGCACAGACGAAGCGCAAGUGACGGUAUGUGCAGAAGAAGGACCGGCCAACUACGUGCCAGCCGCCGCAGUAA